rnacentral:lncRNA from 1 species
CAAAAAGUUGACCGGAAGUCACCCUUGUAUACAAAUGUUGAAGUGAAAUUUUCAACUUUGAAUUAAAAUUCACAAAAAUUUAAAAAGCCCGGUCAAAAUCGAGAACAAGAUUCGAAAAGGCAAUGUAAUAACAAAUAAUUUGAUAUAAAUAACAAUAAAAAUAUAUCAAACUAAAAUUGCAAAAACUUGACCUGUGGUCUAGCUUGUGUUUUAAUCUUGACCCCCCUUUUAUAGAAAAUAA